rnacentral:siRNA from 1 species
UGCUGGUCCGACCGUGUUUCG